rnacentral:rRNA from 1 species
UACGUAGGGUGCAAGCGUUGUCCGGAAUUAUUGGGCGUAAAGAGCUCGUAGGCGGUUUGUCGCGUCUGCUGUGAAAGCCCGGGGCUCAACCCCGGGUCUGCAGUGGGUACGGGCAGACUUGAGUGCGGUAGGGGAGAUUGGAAUUCCUGGUGUAGCGGUGGAAUGCGCAGAUAUCAGGAGGAACACCGAUGGCGAAGGCAGAUCUCUGGGCCGUUACUGACGCUGAGGAGCGAAAGCAUGGGGAGCGAACAGGAUUAGAUACCCG